UGCACUGAUUGGCUGAGCCAGAAAGAAUCCGCUGCCUGGGCGGUUUCGGUUUUCGCCGCGACCGUUUGCGAGGCCGGGCUCGUGGGGCUCUUGGAGUCGGGCUUCUGCUUCCCGGCCUCAAGGAUUCUUAAAAUGAGUCUGCGGAAGCAAACCCCUAGUGACUUCUUAAAGCAAAUCAUCGGAAGGCCAGUUGUGGUCAAAUUAAAUUCAGGAGUGGAUUAUCGAGGGGUCCUGGCUUGCCUGGAUGGCUACAUGAAUAUAGCCCUGGAGCAGACAGAAGAGUAUGUAAAUGGACAACUGAAGAAUAAGUAUGGGGAUGCAUUUAUCCGAGGAAACAAUGUAUUAUACAUAAGUACACAGAAGAGAAGGAUGUGAAGACACCAGGGAAGCAAUUCUUUUCAUAGCUGGAAUAUAUUUUUUAUGAAAUGUUUUCUAUUUUUUAGUUCUUUUGUGUUGUAAGAUGUCUUGCCUUCAUAGUUGGUGAUUUUUCACCUACAUGUGAGUAAGAUUCGGCUCAUUGCUCUGGCCUGUCAACAUCAUUUUUCAUCAUUAUUCCAUCUGCCUGCUCCACCCAGAGGCUGGUCAUCUGCCAGCCAGAGCUGUGUGCCUGCUAGCCCUCCUCACCCAGCACAGGAACCAGAGUUCCAUCCAGGUGAUACAAUGAAGGCGACAACUUUUGUCCUUUCGGGGAGGUCCUCCAGUCAGUUUAGAAGCCACCUACUCAUCCUUGCUUUAUUUAGCCCAUUUUUCAUAUGGUCAGUAAAGAUAGAGGUAGGCAACUGAUUAUGUAUAUCAUUUUUACUAAGCUCCUAGGAGAGGCAGAGCCUAGACCAAUGCAUUUUUAGUGAGUCUAAGCCACUAAAAAAUCUAAUAAAAUAAUAAUGCACAUGGUGUAUUAUGAGGAUUCUCCAGGGAAACAAAAACCAAUAGGAGAGGUAGAUUUAUUGAGAAAGAGACUUAUGGAAGCCAUUGGCUGACAGGAAUACAGAGGCAGAGAAACCUCCUGAUCUGCCUUCCUGAAGCUGGCAUCCCAGGAAAGCCAGUGGUAUAGGUCAAAGGCCUAAGAACCAGGAGUCAAUGAGAGAGAGAGCACAGGUUGAGCGCGACAAUCAGAAGAUCUAAGGGCAGGAGCAGAAUAACGUUCCAGAUCAAGCAGUCAGCAAAUCCAGCUUUCCCUUGCCAUUUUGUUCUAUUCAGGUCCUUCAUGGGUUAGAUGAAGCCCACCCGUACUGGAGAGGCCAUCUACUUUACUCCAUCUAGUCACAGCUAAUUUCUCCCAAAAGCUCACAGACACACUUCAAAAUAAUGUUUAACCAAUGACCUGGCAUCCUAUGGCCCCAUCCAGUUGACACAUAAUUCGCAAGCAGUAAAAUGUUUUUUAAAAAAUGACAGAGAAGGCCGGGGAUUUCACUCAGUGGUGCCGCUGCCUACCUCGAAAGUGCAAGGUCCUGAGUUUGAUCCCCAGUAACAAAAAAAGAAAAUGACAGAUUUAUAUACUACUUGCACUUUUAAAGAAUUUGUCUAUACACGGCUGCUAUACUUCUUGUUUACUUCAAACUGCUAUUUCAGUACACGUAACGUAGAAAAACAAAUCAUACUAGAGACUGCCAUAUAUGAAUUUUGCUUAAACUAUUUUAAAUAAUUAGUAUUUUUCUGCCUAAGUAUAGACUCUUCAAUAAUAUAUGUGUGAAUUGGGAUUUGGGAGGAAAAUGCAGGUAAGUGUUGAUGGGAGAAAUAAUACUUAUGUUAAAUAUUUCUGUUCCUUCACCUGGUGAGAUAGGGAAAUGUCUGUAGAGUUGUAGAAAGAUGAUGUUAGGUUGGCAUCAGUAGCUAGACCUGCAGUAGACUGUUAAAGUCUUGUGGGCACUGUUGUCAUAGAGAUUUUGCUUACCUACUGGAGCAUUUUUUGUGAAUGAAGAGUUAGAUGCUGACCAGGAAAUUGGGAAGUCUGGGAUUUCUCCUAACUUUCCAGAACAGCUAUAGCAGUGGAGAGCAAAUGAUUAAAUUUCUCUGAGGUGCAGCAAAACCAUGAAAUGGGCCAGCCUCACUCACUGGAAGUGUGUGCGGAGGACUCUUGGAGUUCAGCGUCUGCCAAGAGCUGACUUAGAUCCUGGCAAGAAGAGCAGGCACAACAUUUUGGGGCACUGCGUGCUGCCCAAGAGCUUGGCUUCAACUUCUCCUUAACAAGAGAUGGAUGAGUGAGGCCUAUCAGUUUCAGAUGCCAGAAAGAAAAGGCUGUGAUAGCAGGCCUGUAGUUUGGGAGAGGUGUGGCUCAACUACCCAUUGCGUGACAAAAUAUGGAGACAAAUAACUUAUAAGGAGGAAAGAUUUAUUGUGGCUCAUGGUUUCAGAGGUUUCAGUCCAUAGUCACUUAACUCCAUCACUUGGGGCCUGUGGCAGAGCAGUACGUUAUGGCAGACAUGAGUGGUGGAGGUCUGUUCACCUCAUGGCAGCCAGAAAGCAAAAGAAAGAAUCAGGAAGGGGUUGGGGUCCUAAUAUUCCUUUAAGAGAACAAAGUCAAUGUUGUAACUUCCGACCACUCAGCCCCACCUCCUAAAGGCUCCAGCACCUCCCAACAGCACCAUGUGGGCUGGGGACCAAGCCUUUAGCACAUGAGCAUUUAGGGGCCACUUCAGAUCCAAACUAUAGCAGAGUCCUAAAGCAAAGGAAGGAAGUUGUUCUGCAGAAAUGGUCUAUGACAGUGAAUCAGGGAAUCACUUGGAGUUUGGUCAGUAAGUGUCCUGAAAAAAUGUUUUAUAAGAAAAAAUUAAAAUUCUUGAAAAUGGACUUUUACAUUUAAAGGUUAUGGUAUUCUCCAUCAUUGAGGGAGAAUUGGCAGGAACCAAACAAUUUGCUCUUCCUAUUUCAGAGUAGUUAAGAACCUUGGAUCAUUUUUGUUUUCUUUUCUUUUAAGAUGCUGGGGAUUGAACACAUGGUAAGCAAGUGCUGUACUACUGAGCUCCACCCCCAGCCCUGGAUCAUUUCUCUAGAGGAGAAUAAAGCAUAUUUGCUGUGACUGCUUCUGUGCUGGGUAAUAAGAGGGCAGUGUGAAGGGUAAGAAAAUAAAGGAGGAUAUUUAGGUGCUCAACAAUAAUGCUGAAUUUGUUAAUUUUAAAAAGAGAAGGAAAAGAGAAAAUAUAUGCUCAUAAUUUUAAAAUGUUCUUUAAUUUGAGAAAAUUGGCCAUGGAUGGAAAAAGAAAAAAUAUUUCCAGUUGACAUAUUGAGAACUCCAUGAGCCCAGGUCUACUCCAGUGGCUUUUACCUGCAUGCAUUGGAAGACUGGGUUCUGCAUUCAGUUUGCCCAAUUGUGGAUUGGCAGGGUAGGGAUAUGGUGUCUGCAGUGAGAGAAAUUUCUACCAAGGUUUCUUACCCAGAGUGGCCCUCCAAACCCCGGCCCCUGUUGGAGAAUCAGGAAAUGGAACUCUUGCCUGCAUCUUCAGUUGGCUUUCUAGAAUUGCUGCACACCUGUCUUCUCUGUCAGUUUUCUUGACUGUACAAUGGUGAUUGUACUAGUGACGGCAAUUGUAAUAGCAUAGAGUCUGGGACCACAGAUGCAGUGCUCCUCUGCAGGUGUCUCCAGCAUAGCUCUUCCACUCAUUAGCAAUGUGACUUCAGUCCAGUUACUUUAAUCCUUAAUCUUUCUAUGCUUUAGUUUCCUCAUCUGUAAAAUGGUGAAGGAAUUAGAACAUAUUCUGUAGGGUCAUUGUAAGGAUUAUGUGAAAGUGUUAGUUGUAUUGGUCCAAGAAACACAUGGAAUUCUGGGCAGAGAGAUGGAUAGUCAGGGUAAUUGGAGCUAAGCAAUCAAGGUGAUUCCUACCCUCCAGUGGUUUGGAGAUAAGUGGGUAGAAAACAGCACACAUCAAGCUGAAGCCACAGUGUGUGUGGGACCAAGCACCUACAUGAGGAUAAAGGGUACAUAAAGUGUAGGAUUCUAAAAAGCUGGCUGCUAAAAAGUAUUCAUAAAUGUAGAAGGUCCCACCGUAUACUAGUGGUUGAGACUAAAUUUUGGCAUCCAAUCACAGGGUGUGACUGCUUUGGAAUUU